rnacentral:rRNA from 1 species
UCUUAUGUACAUGCCUACAAUGUUAAUGCAUCAGAUCCCAUCAUAACUCUGUAGUUAAGCACAUUUGGGCUAGAGUAGUAUUGGGAUGGGUGACCUCCCAGGAAGUCCUAGUGUUUUACAUGCC